UUAGCUCUCUUUGCCUUUUGGCUUAGAUCAAGUGUAGUAUCUGUUCUUUUCAGUUUAAUCUCUGAAAGAUGUCUAAGGACAUCAAUCGUGAUUAUUCCUAUUUUUGGCUUUCGGGCAGUUUCCUCUGUGCUUGCACAUGAUUCUGCCCACAGUGUCCCUGGUAUUACACUGCCUCCAGGUGACGCGAACACUA
rfam:Fusarium oxysporum f. sp. lycopersici 4287 chromosome 1, whole genome shotgun sequence.